rnacentral:rRNA from 1 species
GACGAACGCUGGCGGCGUGCCUAACACAUGCAAGUCGAACGGGGUAAGAAGCUUCGGUUUCUUACUUAGUGGCGAACGGGUGAGUAACGCGUGAGAAACCUGCCUUUCAGUGGGGGACAACAGUUGGAAACGACUGCUAAUACCGCAUAAUGUUAUUUGAGGGCAUCCUCGAAUAACCAACGGGUUAUUGCUGAAAGAUGGUCUCGCGUCUGAUUAGCUAGAUGGCGGGGUAACGGCCCACCAUGGCGACGAUCAGUAGCCGGUCUGAGAGGAUGAACGGCCACAUUGGGACUGAGAUACGGCCCAGACUCCGACGGGAGGCAGCAGUGGGGAAUAUUGGGCAAUGGGGGAAACCCUGACCCAGCAACGCCGCGUGAAGGAAGAAGGCCUUCGGGUUGUAAACUUCUUUUACCAGGGACGAACAAAUGACGGUACCUGGAGAAAAAGCAACGGCUAACUACGUGCCAGCCGCCGCAGUAACAC